GGAGGAGGGGAAGGCCGGGAGGGGGAGGAGCGCGGCGGUAGCGGUGAAUUUUGAGGGGUGGGUCGGGGGCGCGCACUCGCCGCCCCUGGUGCUGCCGGCUCCCGGAGCCGUGGCGUGUCCCGGCUGUCGCCGCUCGGCUGUCGCGAGCCGCCGCGGGCAGAGUCCCGGGCGGGGGAGGGAGGAAGCCGGAGCCUCAGGCACGUGAAAGAAAAGCACAAGAAGAAACUUUUACAGGCGUUGUUGAUUGGACUAGGGCAACGAUUCCCAAAAUCACCAGCAAGAGUUCUGAUGGUCAGUCACACAGAAGACGGCCUUGCGUCUGUGGGUGUUGGAGACUCCAUUCUAAAGAUAUAAAAAGUGAAAGAGGAGAAGUACAAAUGUCUACCACAAGACGAAAACAUAAUGUGUUAUGGUGUUUACCGUAAGCUGUAGUAAAAUGAGCUCAAUUGUUGACAGAGAUGACAGUAGUAUUUUUGAUGGAUUGGUGGAAGAAGAUGACAAGGACAAAGCAAAAAGAGUAUCUAGAAACAAAUCAGAAAAGAAACGUAGAGAUCAGUUCAAUGUCCUCAUUAAGGAGCUGGGGUCUAUGCUUCCUGGUAACGCGAGAAAGAUGGACAAGUCUACUGUUCUACAGAAGAGCAUUGAUUUUUUGCGCAAACAUAAAGAGACCACUGCACAGUCAGAUGCUAGUGAGAUUCGACAGGACUGGAAACCCACAUUCCUUAGUAAUGAAGAGUUUACACAGUUAAUGUUAGAGGCUCUUGAUGGUUUUUUUUUAGCGAUCAUGACAGAUGGAAGUAUAAUAUAUGUAUCUGAGAGUGUAACUUCGUUACUUGAACAUUUACCAUCUGAUCUUGUGGAUCAAAGUAUAUUUAAUUUUAUCCCAGAGGGAGAACAUUCAGAGGUUUAUAAGAUACUCUCUACUCAUCUGCUGGAAAGUGACUCAUUAACCCCUGAGUACUUAAAAUCAAAAAAUCAGUUAGAAUUCUGUUGUCACAUGCUUCGAGGAACAAUAGACCCAAAGGAGCCAUCCACCUAUGAAUAUGUGAGAUUUAUAGGAAAUUUUAAAUCUUUAACCAGUGUAUCAACUUCAACACACAAUGGUUUUGAAGGAACUAUACAACGCACACAUAGGCCUUCUUAUGAAGAUAGAGUUUGUUUUGUAGCUACUGUCAGAUUAGCUACACCUCAGUUCAUCAAGGAAAUGUGUACUGUUGAAGAACCAAAUGAAGAGUUUACAUCUAGACACAGUUUAGAAUGGAAGUUUCUAUUUUUAGAUCACAGGGCACCACCAAUAAUAGGCUAUUUGCCAUUUGAAGUCUUGGGAACAUCAGGCUAUGAUUACUAUCAUGUGGAUGACCUAGAAAAUCUGGCAAAAUGUCACGAGCACUUAAUGCAAUAUGGAAAAGGCAAAUCGUGUUACUAUAGAUUCCUGACCAAAGGCCAGCAGUGGAUAUGGCUUCAGACUCAUUAUUAUAUUACUUACCAUCAGUGGAAUUCAAGGCCAGAGUUCAUUGUUUGUACUCACACUGUAGUAAGUUAUGCAGAAGUUAGGGCUGAAAGACGGCGAGAACUUGGCAUUGAAGAGUCUCUUCCUGAGACAGCUGCUGACAAAAGCCAAGAUUCUGGGUCUGACAAUCGUAUCAACACAGUGAGUCUCAAGGAAGCACUGGAAAGGUUUGAUCACAGCCCAACUCCUUCUGCCUCCUCUAGAAGCUCACGAAAGUCAUCUCACACCGCAGUCUCAGACCCUUCCUCCACACCGACAAAGAUCCCUACUGAUACUAGCACUCCUCCCAGACAGCAUUUGCCAGCUCAUGAAAAGAUGACACAGCGGAGGUCGUCCUUCAGCAGUCAGUCCAUAAACUCCCAGUCAGUUGGUCCAUCAUUAACACAGCCAGCGAUGUCUCAAGCUGCAAAUUUACCAAUUCCACAAGUUUCAGUUUUCAGCUCAGUUAGGAGCCAUGCAGCAUCUAAAAGACCAGCUAGAGCAGCGGACACGGAUGAUAGAGGCAAAUAUUCAUCGGCAGCAAGAAGAACUAAGGAAAAUUCAAGAGCAACUUCAGAUGGUCCAUGGUCAAGGGCUACAGAUGUUUUUGCAGCAAUCAAACCCUGGAUUGAAUUUUGGUUCUGUUCAACUUUCCUCUGGAAAUUCUAAUAUCCAGCAACUCACACCUGUAAAUAUGCAAGGCCAGGUUGUCCCUGCUAACCAGGUUCAGAGUGGACAUAUCAGCACAGGCCAGCACAUGAUACAGCAACAGACUUUACAAAGUACAUCAACUCAGCAGAGUCAACAGAGUGUAAUGAGUGGACACAGUCAGCAGACGUCUCUUCCAAGUCAGACACCGAGCACUCUCACAGCCCCACUGUACAAUACGAUGGUGAUUUCCCAGCCUGCAGCUGGGAGCAUGGUCCAGAUUCCAUCCAGUAUGCCACAGAACAGUACCCAGAGUGCUACAGUCACUACGUUCACUCAGGACAGACAGAUAAGAUUUUCUCAAGGUCAGCAACUUGUGACCAAAUUAGUGACUGCUCCUGUAGCUUGUGGGGCCGUCAUGGUACCAAGUACCAUGCUUAUGGGUCAGGUGGUGACUGCCUAUCCUACCUUCGCCACACAACAGCAGCAGGCACAGACAUUAUCGGUAACACAACAGCAGCAGCAGCAGCAGCAGCAGCCACCACAGCAACAGCAACAACAACAGCAGAGUUCCCAGGAACAGCAGCUUCCUUCAGUUCAGCAGCCAGCUCAGGCCCAGCUGGGCCAGCCACCACAGCAGUUCUUACAGACAUCUAGGUUGCUCCACGGGAAUCCUUCGACACAGCUCAUCCUCUCUGCUGCCUUUCCACUACAACAGAGCACUUUCCCUCCUUCGCACCACCAGCAACACCAGCCUCAGCAGCAACAGCAGCUUCCUCGGCACAGGACUGACAGCCUGACUGACCCUUCCAAGGUCCAGCCACAGUAGCACACACACUUCCUCUCUGACAUGCGAGAGGAAGGGGAUGGCCAGAAAGAAUCGCUCAGUUGGCAUGCGGUCAGAAGUUGAACAGUUUCACGAGGGUGGUCUUGAGUGUUCAGUCCCUUGAUGAGACGGUAGGGAAGUGCUGCCCAGUGCUUCAGAUGUCCAUUAAAUACCAGCCAGUGGGAAAUGGUCAUAGGGACACAGCCAAUUCUGACAGUUUCUUUGCCCAGGUAUUUUUUGAUAGAAAGAGUAUAUUGCCAAAUGCUAACAAGCUCAGCUAUCAACCAGAUCUUUACUGAAUCCGAAGAGCACUAACAGUGUUGGUAGCUUUAGUGGGUCUGUGCCUGCAUCAAAUAUUACAGAGGGCACACCACUGCCAGGGGUUUGCUUAGAAUGCCAUGAAGAUAGUCCAGUAGUUAAUAGUCCCCACCCCAAACUCCUCUCCCUGUUCAGACAAUGAUGGAACCGUGAUGACUUUGAGAAUGUUGUGCAGGUUUGAAUUCACUGUGUACAGAUGCUGUAGUGUCUCUGUGUCUGGAUGGAGGAGAGAAAGCCACUUUGAUACAGAAAGCAUUAUCUGUCCCUCACAGGUAUGAGUGCAUUUCAUUAGGUUUGACACCAUGUACAAACUGAUAACAACCUCUCUUUUUUCAUUUUGUUUACAACACAGUAGUGUUCUCGUUACUUUUCCAGGGCACAAGUCUUUUUGUCCGUGCUUUGGCUGUGAUGUCACAGUUUGUUCAGUGAGGUAACAAUGUGCUGCUGGGAAUGGAUUUUUUUUAAGGUUAAAUUAUUGCUACAUUUCCACUUACUCAGAAAUAUCCCUUAUUUCAUUAUUUUUCAAUUAUGUUUGAGAGAAUUGCACUGCUUUAUUAUUUUAGAUGGUUGGUUGAGAGUUUAAUCACAUAUUUUGAUAUAUUUCAUAGUUGGAAUAUUUAUGUAAAUGGUUUUCAACAAGCCUGAAAGUAAUUUCAAGAAUGUUUCAGUUGUAAGAGUAAAGUUUGCACACAAAACAUUUUAGGCACUUUUUUAACAUUCUCAGAGGUGGGAAUUUUAACUUUUAGGAUUUGUUGGAAUCUUUUUAUUAUCUUUAAAAAUUUCAAUGCUUCUUUUAGUCAGAAAUGAUUCAGGGUUAUUUGAGGGGAAAAAACCCAUAGUGCCUUGAUUUUAAUUCAGGUGAUAACUCACCAUCUUGAAUUCAUUGUCUGGUUUCAGUAGCAGUUUUGAAACCUUAGUACAUUUUUAGCAGCAGUGUCAUUCUCAAGUCCCCAUGAGGACUGCUGCGUCUCUUGGGCUGCCUGACAGCGUCACAGCUGGGAAUGGGAUCCCAAAAUCGUUUCCUGUUUGCAUCUUCCUCUAAAGCUAAGUAACUCUUUUAGGAAUUACCAGUAAAUACUUGCUCAGAGACAAGGGACAAGUUGUCUUUAAUUUUCAUUGCAGCACUAGAAUAAUGUAACUCACAUGCUUUUUAAACAUUAAGAUUUCAUUUGGCAAUAUCAUUCUCUACAGGUAAUAAACUCCAACAAAGCUACAUACAUUUUAAAAGGCAUUUUUUUAGAUUUUAUGGUACUAAUAAUGAGUUUUUCAAUUAAAGAACAAAAGAUCAGUAGGAUAUAGAAUAUCAAGUAUUACUGAGAAAAGGGAGGAUAAGUGUGGCACAUUAGAAUUGACCUUAAAAGGAAAGUAUGUGAUGGUGAGGUGCUAAACUGGUUUCAGCAGUGCAGAUAACCUAAGGCAGAGUUGCUAGAUCAGGGCUUGGGGAACUCGGAGUCAGCUAUCUGUCUCUAGCUUUGCUCUCAUCAUCAGUAAGUGUGUCUUUGUUUUCCUGUUUACCUGACUGCAAUUAAGUUAGCAAGUUAGUGAUAAAAAGAAAACAACCAAAGAAAAUUGGUACCUACUCUUCUGCAUAAGAAGUGUGUCUAGAUACCAGUCAGUAACUCACAUAUCACAGAGUUCUUCUAGCUGACAUUCAUACGAAUACCAGAAAUAGUUGUGAGAAUACACAUUUAUGCAAGUUUGUGCACACGUGACGAAAUCAAUGUAAGUCGAGCACCCACAUUGCUUUUCUCCCUUCCACAUUGCCUUCUUCUCUUUGGCCAUUCCAUGUCCUCGGAGUCGGAGCUGUGCCUCGUUUAUCUUUUUGCAUCACAUAGCGAUAAGAAUUUAGCUACAGGAGAUACAACAUGCUAGUUAUGUAAUGCCUGCUGUUCUUCACAGUUCAUCUCCCUGCUUAAAAGUAGCAGUUGAUAAGAAACUCUAGCUGCUAAGGCUGCUGUCCACACGGAGAUGCAUGCUGGGCAACAGUUGUCAGCACUAGCUGCCUCUUAGCUCCUUAAUUCUUGGUUCCUUUGGAUGGCAAACUGUCUUUGUCUGCUCCCCACACGACUCCAGUAUUCUGAAGAAAGUUCAUCUUUUGCCUGUUCAUUUCUGUAGCCAAAGCUGACUGAAACCCCAAAUCUAAAUCAUGAAAAGAUACCAAAAAGAAACACUUCUCAGCUUCUUAGAAACCUUAACUUCUCUUGCUGUAUUUCAUGGAUUUGAUUUUCUUUGAAAUUUUUGAUUCUGGGCAGCGCCUUUUAAUUAAGAAAUUGUUAGGAUGAAGGUCAAACAGGUUCUCAUUGCCCUGCAGGUACCUUGCUCUGGACUGCUUCUGUAUGGGGUGACUUGGGGUUGCUGAACACACAGGAUUAGAACAGUAAACACAAAGCUGCCCUUGAGGCUGGCGUUAAACCAGAGCCUCAAUAUUGAAAAUAUCAAGUCCUCUUUCCUUCCUUAGAGACGAGACUGUGAGAGGAAAGCAACUGUGGUAGGUGGGCUUGCUUGCACAUGAGCACCAAGACCAUUCCCCAAGCUCUAUCCUCAGGGUAGCAUUUAGAGUGCUGUGUUCUGCUGUCACAUAGACAUGGCUUAGGGAUGUAGCACUAAUAAAAGAAUGCCCGUGCUUUUGAAUAGUUGUGAUAGCAAACUCUAGGCUAACUAGCAAGUGUUUGAAUUCUGUGUGCUGUAUAGUAGUUGGUCAUUGCCUUAAAGCAGUCUCUUGGAAGUUGGGAGCACUGAAGCAGUCCAACCAUAUAUGGGCAUCACGUUGAGGGAGAUGAGCCUUGUUCAAGCCUUAGAAAGGACCCUUAGUCUACACAGGUAGAUUCUUUUCACUUGGAUAUUACUGUGUUUAAAAUGUUUCCACUAUGUUGAGGCAGUUUUUUAAAGUGGAACACAGAUAGGAUUUUUAGUAUUUCUUUUUUUGUUUCUUUGGUGAUUAAAGGUUUGUUGGUAGACAUUUGUGUAAAAGUUGUUCAAGCCUAUCAUCUUUCCAGUACUUGUGGUCCUGUUCUUAGUACCAGAGUCCACAAUGGAAAGUGUAAACACUGGAUAUUAAUAUUGCUGAGGGUGCAUAGCCAGGUGUGAGCUGACUGGAACUUCUCAGUGGUGAAGAAACAGCACAACGGCACUUGCCAUUUUCAUAGUGAUUGCAUAAAGAGACCUUCUAAGUUUGUCUGGAUUGAGUGAACACUCUUCUAAGAGGAGCUUCUCAAGUAAAUGCAAAGGAAAAGAGUUGACUAUUUUUAUAGCAUAUUUAAUAUAUUUGUAUAUAACUAUGAGUGUAGUAGGAACCCUCCACAUGCCUCCCACUUUUCUAAUUCCCUCCCCUUCUGCCGUAGCCCUAGUCCAGCCUCAUCCGCAUGGGUAAUGUGCCUACUGUCAGCCUACCUACCAAAAGAUAGUGCUGCUGCUUUCUGAGACAGGUGAGAUCAGACUCUCAUGCCUGGGGAUCCUUAUGGGAGGAAUAGCACACACUUAGAACAACAUACCACAGUUUAAGAGCAUCAUUUUGAAAGGUAAUAAGCACUUUAUUGCAAUUAUUCAUUUAGAUAAAGUUUGUAUCUUAGGCAUUAACCGUUUUUAAAGGAUCCCUAAUCAUCACUUAGGUGAAAUGAUAAACGACACAUUUCUGAGAAAUGUUCAGGUCCAGUGAACCGUAGCAGGUUUAUGGGAAUGAUUUCAAGGUAGCCAAAUAAACUCUGACUUUUGUUUUGAAUGUGGUGGAGUCAGGAGAUUGUAGAUGUGUAGUUUGAUUUAAACACUAUUGUAAACCUAUCUUGCCUAUUGUGUGGACACCAAAAGAGACCAAUGAGCCUGUUUAUUUUCAGAGGUCUAGGAAUAUGCAUCUGUCUGAGUAGAUAUACAGAACUAAUCUAUAAACGGUUGGUAGUAAUAUUUUAGGAUACAGUAACUUCAAGAAUUAUUGAGUGUUUUAAAUGUGCCCUGAAAUGUUGGCAUGUCAUUUCAGCGUUCCCAUUUGAGUUGCUCUUGUAAUAUUUUUGCACAAAAAGGACUGAGAAAAGACUGCUUUGGUUGAAGAAAACUAUAAUUUGGUCUUAUUUUAAUGUCUCCUGUGGAAACACUGGAGGUAAAUUUGUUGGCAUAGUUACUAAUUCAGGAUAUUUAAAACAGUGUUGAACAGCUCAUCAGAAAUUAAGCAAACUUAUAUAUUUAAAAAUUAAAAAUCUUUUUUUCCAUGUGACUGUUUUGCAUAUUUUUUCCGUUGUCAUACCACACUACAUUCCUUGGUUUUUUUUCUGAAAUAAUAAUUUGUGAAAGAUUUGAGUAUUCAACAAUAUUUUUUAAGACGCCUGGGUUUUCCCAGGAAAAUGUCCUAGUGAAGUAAGUUAUAGCUAUAUAUAGUUUGUGGAGACUAUUGAGAUUCCAUCAACACCACCAGCAAACACUGAGGUGCUGAACCAAGAGACAAUCAUAAUAGUAAGUAUUUACAGGACUUAGGAGAGGCUGCAAGGAACACUUGUUCCCAAAGCAGUUCUCUGGGUCUCCUAAAUAAAAUGGCUGUGUAUUUAGAUUUCUACAUUGUGUAGUUGGUGAUUUAUUUAAUUUAUUGCAUCAUUUUCUUGUCGUUGGAGAACUUGCUCUUGUUUGGGGCAGUCACUACCCUACCCUCUAGUGACUCCCCACUGACAGAUCAUUGGGAUCCAUUGUGCAUCACGAUGGUGAUGGAGGGUGAACCUGAAUGUCCCUGCACUUCCCUCCUGCUCUGAAUUCAUUUAAGAAAAGAACAUUAAAAGCUAACUCCUUUUAGCUCUGGUCACAUAGUGUCACUUGUUGCCUUCUCUGAUUCAUGGGCACUUUUUAUACAUUCGUUUCCCCAACACAGUCAAAAAGGCCAGUAAGACAGAACCAAGGGCACAUGUUGCCUCUGUUGCCCAUUUGGGGAAAUGCUAGCAAAGUAAUAUCUAUUAAUGACUGUCGUCACUACAUCCAUAUAUAGAAGUCCUUCUAUAUAGUUGAACAGUGUAUGCACACUGAAAACUUUGAAAAGUUGGCUGUCUUUUAGAUCCUCCAUAGUCCAGUAAAGUGGUGCUUGAACAUAGGGAGUCUAGUUGUGUGAGGAUCCUUCCUGCUCACGUGACCAAAGUGGGCUAUGGUCCUCCUUUAGCACGGUUGCGGCUCUGGAGUCCCACAGUCAGGGUCUAACACACAUAGGGAUCCCCUGGAGAGCAGUUAUUAAAAUACUGUCAGACACAAACUGGGUUUAUUACUUAAGAGGCAUCUAACUCUGAGGGGCAUAAAUUCAAAAUAUACCAUUUUUAGAUGUUUGCUUUUAAAUCAGUGAAAACAAACUGUGACAUCGCUUUAAGAAAUGACUUUUCAAAUGUUUUGAGUUGGCCUGUACUGGUUCACAUUUAUUGCUGACAAUGGUUUGAAGAGUACUACAAAGCUUAUUUAAAAAAAAAAAAAAAAAAGAAAGAAGGAAAGAAAGAAAGAAAGAAAAAGUUAAGUUGAUUUCAAGCAAAGACAUUGCCUUCAAAAAGUCCCUUACUAAUAAGCAAGGGGUAUGUCAGCCAGAACUGGAAUUUACACCAUUCUAAAAUUAUUUUGAAAUCUAUUUUACUGUGGUUUAAGUUGGGAAAAGCUCCAGUAUAGCACUUUCAUAUUCACCCUGUGUAAAGAUUAAAGCCCAAAGACAAAUUAAUGCUGUAUUAAAACCAGUUAGUGCAAAAACUAUAAAUAUAAGUUUUAUCUUUGUAAACUCUGUUAAAUCAGUUGGUAGUUGUACAAACAUGCACCAGAUUUCUCUUAAGUUCCGUGUGGUCUUGCUGUGCUGUUCCUGACAUUGCUGUCCUUACUGCUUGGUUCUGGGUUUAAACUAAAACAAGAAUAAGCAGAGCGCAUCCCUUGCAGCUCCAAAAGAGGGGCACGAUAUGGCUGUGUAUCUCCAGAUGAGAAUUCCUCCCCUCCUAAAGCAAACAUUGAAUUGAGACUUACACUCUUUCAGGUGUUUACCCCUUUGCCAAAACUAGAAAUAUGAAGGAUUAUGAGUGAUUUCAAUGGUGCUAUAUUAGGUUCCCUGGUUUUCAUAAGCUAUGUUUGGAAAUACAGCACUGAAUAAAAUGCAGACUCUUGCUACCAGCUGCAUAUUGCCGUUGUAAUUGGGUCCAGUACAAUUGGAUAUACUUGUUUAUCAAAGUUACCCUUUGAAGAAGUAAAACUGGUACACCAGCAUGCCUUCACUCAGGCCUCCUGCUGUAUGACAUGCACAGCUUUAACGUAAAAUCACAACAAACCAUCAUAAUGCUCUUUUCUCUAGACCCUUGUAAUGUAUUCAGAACCUAAAACUACAGCAAAAGAGCCAAGCAGUAGCAAUGUUUGUUUUUUUUUUUUUUUGUAAAUGUAAAAAUAAUUAGCUCUAGACCUGUUUCCUUUGAUUUAAAAAUAAAGAAUGCCUCAGUGCUGCUCUCAGUGUCACCUGCUUAUGUGGCACAUAUGUGUAAGAGUCCCAUUUUGGAUUUAUAGAACAACUAUUAAAUGUUUUUAAAUCUGUCA